GACGAACGCUGGCGGCGUGCUUAACACAUGCAAGUCGAACGGAAAGGCCCUGCUUUUGUGGGGUGCUCGGGUGGCGAACGGGUGAGUAACACGUGGGUAACCUGCCCUUGACUUUGGGAUAACUUCAGGAAACUGGGGCUAAUACCGGGUAGGAGCUCCUGCUGCAUGGUGGGGGUUGGAAAGUUUCGGCGGUUGGGGAUGUACUCGCGGCUUAUCAGCUUGAUGGUGUGGUAGUGGCUUACCAAGGCUUUGACGGGUAGCCGGGCUGAGCGGGGGACCGGACAAAUCGGGAUUGAGAUGAGGCACAGACUCGUCCCGGAGGCAGCAGUGGAGAGUAGUGCAUUACGGGAUGAAGGCUGACGCAGCGCAGCCGCGCCGGGGAAGACGGGAUGGGGGUUGGAAACCGAUUUUGUUUGUCACGAAGCGAGAGUGACGGUAACGGGUAAAGAAGCACCGGCUAACUACGUG
rnacentral:rRNA from 1 species